rnacentral:misc_RNA from 1 species
AUGCUCUAGGGCAUACUACUAAUAUGUGAUUAUGUGAAUAUGCAGAGCACCACCAUAAUUUUGUUUCCCACUUAGUAUUAUAAAAUAGUUCAUUGUCUUUUGGACUAAUCUUCAAACUAUGGUUUACAUCAAUGUACAGCAAAGAUUUUUUGUGCUUAACAAGAAAAAUUGUUUCAGGGCAACCUUUGUUGGACUAGCAUAUGGCUAUGGUACCAUUCUCUCCUCAAGCAUCAUUGUACCAAUGGCUUCUCAUGCAUUGAACAAUCUGGUUGGAGGGAUCUUGUGGCGCAGCACAUCGAAGUUGUCAAAGUCAUUAGAGUAGAUACCUGAUUCAGUGAAAAAUAGGUGAAGAACGAUUCUCAAAAUGAUGUAAGAUGAAAAAUUGCCCAAACUAAUGAAAUAUGCAAGCUCUCCUCAUUUGCAAAAACGCAUAGGAAGUCUAGAGUAUCUCUUAAUAAUCUUUGCAUUUCCAAGAGAAGAGUUGAUAUGAAAACUCAAGCAGCUCUAUGCAAUAAUAUUUUAUUGUUAAUUGUUAAUCUAACUAUUUGAUACCAUGUUUAGAGGUAUGAAGAAAUAUUUUUGUGCAUCAAAA